GUUGUAGUGAGACGUAGUGAGACGUAGGUGUGUUUACUGUUGUAGUGAGACGUAGGUGUGUUUACUGUUGUAGUGAGACGUAGGUGUGUUUACUGUUGUAGUGAGACGUAGGUGUGUUUACUGUUGUAGUGAGACGUAGGUGUGUUUACUGUUGUAGUGAGACGUAGGUGUGUUUACUGUUGUAGUGAGAUGUAGGUGUGUUUACUGUUGUAGUGAGAUGUAGGUGUGUUUACUGUUGUAGUGAGACGUAGGUGUGUUUACUGUUGUAGUGAGACGUAGGUGUGUUU